UGGGGAAUAUUGCACAAUGGGCGCAAGCCUGAUGCAGCAACGCCGCGUGAACGAUGAAGGUCUUCGGAUCGUAAAGUUCUGUUGCAGGGGAAGAUAAUGACGGUACCCUGUGAGGAAGCCCCGGCUAACUACGUGCCAGCAGCCGCGGUAAUACGUAGGGGGCUAGCGUUAUCCGGAUUUACUGGGCGUAAAGGGUGCGUAGGUGGUCUUUCAAGUCGGUGGUUAAAGGCUACGGCUCAACCGUAGUUAGCCUCCGAAACUGGAAGACUUGAGUGCAGGAGAGGAAAGUGGAAUUCCCAGUGUAGCGGUGAAAUGCGUAGAUAGUGGGAGGAACACCAGUAGCGAAGGCGGCUUUCUGGACUGCAACUGACACUGAGGCACGAAAGCGUGGGUAGCAAACAGG
rnacentral:rRNA from 1 species